AUCCCGCCCGAAAGCUGCAGCGCGCCCGAUGGCCAGGCGCUGCAAGUUCGGGCCCACGGCGUCCGCCCGCCCGGGGAUGCACGUGAACUUGGAGAAAGUCGCGGGGCGUUUUGGCCCGGACCUCCGCGGCAGGGCGUGGGCGCCCCCGGCCCGGCGCGCUUUCGUUUUCGUCCAGGACAAAGGUCCCUCGCGGCGCUAGUCGCCGACGCGGAGACUGGGUCCCGCGGGCCACUCUUCGGCGAGGUCUGGCGGUUCAGUAUUGGGAAGACGGAGCCGGGAGAAGAGGAGCAGUGCAGUCCGCGGCGCGGUGCGGGACUGGGGGAGCGGGGCCUGGCUGUGCGCUUCGCCCGCGCGGUGAGGGAGCCGACCUGCCCUGCGAAGAGUUUCGGGAGACGGCACCGCUUGGCUUUCUGCCGUUUGGGCGCCUGAGGAAGGGAAGCGUUUGGAGCCCAGGACUCGGACCGAGGGCCGAGGGCCUGUGCAAGGGCUGUGGGCACCAUAGCGCAGCGCGGGCUGUGUCCGGGCGCGUUCUCCCGCAAGGGCACGGCUGCCGACCUGCGCGCCACGGGUCACCGUCGGGUUCAAGGCGACUCCUGAGAACGGAUGUGGCUCCUCCCAGAGCACCCCCGAGGAAGUGGGGUCCGAGACGGCCUGUGAAUGGUGCUCCAGGACCGCACAGCCCAGGUGUCAGCCCGCCUGUCCGGCCACCGCACUCCCCCGGUGACUGAUGCCUGAAGCUUGGGUGGCUCUGCCACCGCAGGUUGGACAGUGGCGCCCGGACGAGUCCCCUGCCUGAAGCUGGGCUUCGUCGUGGUGAGCUGGGUGUCAGGGCGGCCCCCGGCCUGGGACAGCCCCGCCCUGCAGGGUGCCUCUCCUCUGGCUGCCCCGCCGGGUCCCUAGGUGCCGGGUCCCUAGGUGCCGUUGCCCCGGGAAGUAGGGGCCGUGGGACAUCUGGAGACAGGGAGGGGUGUGGUCAGAGCUGUGUCCCUCCCCUGCAGCUCUGGGUGUCACCGUCAGGCACAGAGGCCCUGAGAAGGGGACCUCCCGGUCCAGCCGCCACACCCUCGCCCAGCUGUGCCCUCCACCCGAAGCCGUGUCCCUCCCUGCCCCGCUGGUCCCCCGCCAACCCCCCAUUUCCCACACCUCAUCCACCCAUCCUGCGCGCCUGACAUCAUGCCCUUCGACCUGCUGGUCUCUGAGGUCCGCUCUGGCCGCCCCCGCCCCAUCUGAGUGGCCGUGGCCCGGCGGGGCCCUGGGCCCGAGCAGAGCGUCUGGGUGGGUGAGGCGCCCUCGGCCCGUCUCCCUCUGUGCCCGGGGUUCAGCUGCCGCUGUGCACCCCUUCUCCUCCUGCCUCGAGGGUCCCCCGGGGCCAGCAGGGCCCGAGGAAGCCCCCUUCCCUCCACACAGCUGUGAACCGGCCCUUGAG